AACGAACGCUGGCGGCAUGCCUAACACAUGCAAGUCGAACGAGACCUUCGGGUCUAGUGGCGCACGGGUGCGUAACGCGUGGGAACCUGCCCUUAGGUUCGGAAUAACUCCCCGAAAGGGGUGCUAAUACCGGAUAAUGUCUUCAGACCAAAGAUUUAUCGCCUUUGGAUGGGCCCGCGUUGGAUUAGCUAGUUGGUAGGGUAAAAGCCUACCAAGGCGACGAUCCAUAGCUGGUCUGAGAGGAUGAUCAACCACACUGGGACUGAGACACGGCCCAGACUCCUACGGGAGGCAGCAGUGGGGAAUAUUGGACAAUGGGCGAAAGCCUGAUCCAGCAAUGCCGCGUGAGUGAUGAAGGCCUUAGGGUUGUAAAGCUCUUUUACCCGGGAUGAUAAUGACAGUACCGGGAGAAUAAGCUCCGGCUAACUCCGUG
rnacentral:rRNA from 1 species